AAAUAACUUUGUUAUAAUAAUGUUAAAUUUAAAACAAUAACAAAUUAAUGUCUAACGAUUGUAAUAUUUAGCUUUUAGCGCCAUCUGUCAAUAACUACAAUAACAGUUUACAGUACGGUAUCAAGUGGCUUAAUUUAAAUUCUUUUAAAUUGUAUACCUAUUGUACCUCGAAGUAUUGACCAUUCUAAAUUAGUUCGUUAAUUUUAUUUUAUGUGAAUUGAGAAUUCAGAACCAUGCAUGCAUGCUAUACUGGCGCAUGUCGAAAUUUUUAAGAAAAAAGGAAACCGACUUAUAUUGUUGCCUGGAACAACCAAGUCAUACAAAAGAGAUUGUCAGCGAUUAGCUAAUUCUAACAGCCAAUUCUAUCUUAUCUUAUCAAACAGUAUCUAAUAUCUAUCAGCGGCCAGACAUGUUGAACAUAACCUUUCGGCUCGUUAUAAUAUUAUUAAUUAUUUCAAUCACUUCACCACUCUACUAUAUUUACCAAACACGACUUUACGAAAUAAGAGCAAAUCGAAAAAAUAUUAUUUCUUAUUUAAAUCAUACGGAGUUAAAGUAUAUCCUUCAAUGGACAAGAAAGUUCAGCGCGCCAUUCGACUACCUCGAAGAAGGGAACAGUGUUUUUAUAAAACACAAGUGCAAGUUCACUAACUGCUUCGUAACAGACGAUAGAAAUUAUUUCCUAGACUUGAAAGACUUUCAAGCGAUUGCUUUUAAUGGAAGAGAUUUAGACAUGUGGAGUUUUCAAUUACCACAAGAGCGAACGCCGGAACAGAAGUACGUCUUCGGAGCAAUGGAGUCACCUGAUUUCUUUCCAGCGUGCAAUGAAUAUUUAGAUGGCUUCUUCAAUUGGACGUGGUCGUAUAAACUUGAUUCCGACUUUCAAUGGGGGUACAUAACUAUUUAUGAUUUGGAAGACAAUCUAAUUGGACCAGCAAUUGGUAUGAAAUGGAUUGAGGAUAUGAAACCAGUAGAUAGUGCUCUAAAAACUAAACUAGAUAGUAAGAGUAAAGCAGUAGCAUGGUUUGUAUCACAUUGUCACACAAAGCGUGGCAGAGAAGACUAUGUAGAAGAUUUGAGAAAGGAGUUAGAUAAAUUUGGAUGGACUAUUGAUGUGUAUGGUAAAUGUGGGACUCUGUCAUGUCCCUUAAGUGAAGGGAAGUCUUGUUACAAGAUGUUAGAAAAUGAUUAUUACUUUUAUUUAUCAUUUGAGAAUUCAUUUGCUGAGGAUUAUGUGACUGAAAAACUAUUGACUGCUCUCAAUAAUUAUGCUGUGCCAGUUGUCUAUGGUGGUGCUGAUUAUUCAAGAUUUCUACCUGAGGGAAGUUAUCUCAAUGCAAUAGAGCUUGGUCCAAAAAGACUCGCACAAUCAAUGGAUGAAAUUAUUUUAAACAAAACUUUAUACUACAAUUUUUUUAAAUGGCAAAAUCAUUACAAAUACAAAAGUGCAGAUCAUGUGAAUGCUUGUAGAUUGUGUGAACAGUUGAACAAUGAUAAAAAAGUGAAGAAUAUAACUGUAUGGAGUGAUUUUAGAGAGUGGUGGAAUGGUGAACAAUAUAUAGAGAAUUGUUUUUAACAGUUUACAAAAAAUUUAAGACUUAUAAAGUCCCACCGAUCUAGGUUAUAUCAUUCAAAACCCAUAACAAUUAAGUUUUUAUAAAUUUAUGAUCAACAUUCUGUAUGCCGUGGUGCAACAACGCGGGUCGAGUGCCAUAUUGUUGUCAUAAUAAUGGUGCUAAAAUAAUACAGCGGCUGUGUCUAAGUCGACAUCAUAAUUAUAAAACACGGUCCAAAGAAAGUAUAAGGUUUGAUGGUAUAAAUGUCGCAGCCAACUAACUUACUUAGCAGGUCAAUUAACAGCCUGGCCUCUUAACUACACAGCGCCGUUUAACCAGCGGCCUAAAAGAAAUUCGGCGGAUCAACUGGAUCAGCUAGGCUGGAGUUUGGACCGAUCACAGAUGACGUUUGAUUACUUGCCUAGCCUGUUGACUGUUAGUUUAAAUUUAGUUCCACUUUCUGCCACUCUCAAACUCGAAACGAAACUCUUCAAAUUGUAAAUAUGGCCUCGACAAACCACAACUUUUGAUGGUGUUUUCCAAAGUUUAAUGAAAAACCACAAGUACAAUGAAAGAGUGUAGUGAUAAAAAUAAUGAGAAUUUAGAAUGGUCUAAACCAGCCAGUUUAUUUAAUGUUGUUUCAAACGCUUUCAGUCUGCUAGUUAAACGGAACUGUUUAUUUGCCUAGGCUGUUAAUAAAACUAGUUGACUGCGACAUCAACAUCCCAAUGUAAUUACGAUGCAAUAUUUAUUCCACGUUUUUAAAAAAAUCUGUACGGAGUUAUGUAUAAUGUGAUUAUACGUGAAUGUGUAUGUGUAAUUUAAUAAAAAAUUGUAACAACUACCGUCCACAAAAGAACGUUUUAUUUUAGGCAAUGCAUAGUUAGGAGAGUUCAUCACCUACCUAUUAUAUUGGGGAGAUUUCCAAUUCAACAGAGUGAACCCAUCUAGAUUACAUGGAAAGCAUUGGUGCGGAGGAGCGAUUGUCGGUAAUCAAUGGGUACUUACGGCAGCGCAGUGCUUUGACUACGUGUCUAAAGAGGAAGUGACUGUACGUAUGGGUUCAGUAUUUCGUGACUUCGGCGGU